rnacentral:rRNA from 1 species
UACGGAGGGAGCUAGCGUUGUUCGGAUUUACUGGGCGUAAAGGGCGCGUAGGCGGCUUAACAAGUCACUUGUGAAAUCUCCGGGCUUAACUCGGAACGGCCAAGUGAAACUGUCAAGCUAGAGUGCAGAAGGGGCAAUCGGAAUUCUUGGUGUAGCGGUGAAAUGCGUAGAUAUCAAGAGGAACACCUGAGGUGAAGACGGGUUGCUGGGCUGACACUGACGCUGAGGCGCGAAAGCGUGGGGAGCAAACAGG